rnacentral:rRNA from 1 species
GACGAACGCUGGCGGCGUGCUUAACACAUGCAAGUCGAACGGAAAGGCCCUGCUUGCAGGGUGCUCGAGUGGCGAACGGGUGAGUAACACGUGGGUGAUCUGCCCCUUACUUUGGGAUAAGCCUGGGAAACUGGGUCUAAUACUGGAUAGGACCAUGCUGUAGGUGGUGUGGUGGAAAGAUUAGUUUCGGUAAGGGAUGAGCUCGCGGCCUAUCAGCUUGUUGGUGGGGUAAUGGCCUACCAAGGCGUCGACGGGUAGCCGGCCUGAGAGGGUGGACGGCCACAUUGGGACUGAGAGACGGCGCAAACUCCUACGGGAGGCAGCAGUGGGGAAUAGUGCACAAUGGGCGCAAGCCUGAUGCAGCGACGCCGCGUGGGGGAUGAAGGCCUUCGGGUUGUAAACUCCUUUCAGCCAUGACGAAGCCCUGGUGGUGACGGUAGUGGUAGAAGAAGCACCGGCUAACUACGUG